AACGAACGCUGGCGGCAUGCCUAACACAUGCAAGUCGAACGAGACCUUCGGGUCUAGUGGCGCACGGGUGCGUAACGCGUGGGAACCUGCCCUUAGGUUCGGACUAACUCCACGAAAGGGGUGCUAAUACCGGAUAAUGUCUUCGGACCAAAGAUUUAUCGCCUUUGGAUGGGCCCGCGUUGGAUUAGCUAGUUGGUAGGGUAAAAGCCUACCAAGGCGACGAUCCAUAGCUGGUCUGAGAGGAUGAUCAGCCACACUGGGACUGAGACACGGCCCAGACUCCUACGGGAGGCAGCAGUGGGGAAUAUUGGACAAUGGGCGAAAGCCUGAGCCAGCAAUGCCGCGUGAGUGAUGAAGGCCUUAGGGUUAAAGCUCUUUUACCCGGGAUGAUAAUGACAGUACCGGGAGAAUAAGCUCCGGCUAACUCCGUG
rnacentral:rRNA from 1 species